GAAAUGCGAUAAGUAAUGUGAAUUGCAGAAUUCAGUGAAUCAUCGAAUCUUUGAACGCACAUUGCGCCCGUCAGCAUUCUGGCGGGCAUGCCUGUUCGAGCGUCAUUUCAACCCUCAGGACCCCCCUUUCGCGGGGAGGGACCUGGCGUUGGGGAUCGGCCCGCCCCCGCGGCGGCGCCGUCCCCGACAUCUAGUGGCGGUCUCGCUGCAGCCUCCCCUGCGUAGUAGUUACAACCUCGCAUCGGAGCGCGGCGCGGCCACGCCGUAAAACCCCCGACUUUCUGAACGUUGACCUCGGAUCAGGUAGGAAUACCCGCUGAACUUAAGC
rnacentral:misc_RNA from 1 species